rnacentral:rRNA from 1 species
GACAGAGGGUGCAAACGUUGUUCGGAUUUACUGGGCGUAAAGCGCGUGUAGGCGGCUUGGCAAGUCGGAUGUGAAAGCCCACGGCUCAACCGUGGAAGCGCAUCCGAAACGGCCUCGCUCGAGUCUCGGAGAGGAAGGUGGAAUGCUUGGUGUAGAGGUGAAAUUCGUAGAUAUCGGGAGGAACACCGGUGGCGAAGGCGGCGACCUGGGUCGACACUGACGCUGAGGCGCGAAAGCGUGGGGAGCAAACAGG